rnacentral:rRNA from 1 species
AAUCAACGUUGGCGGCGCGCUUAACACAUGCAAGUCGAACGAGAAAGUGGAGCAAUCCAUGAGUAAAGUGGCGUACGGGUGAGUAACACGUGGGUAUCCAUUCUUUGGUGGGGAAUAACUUUGGGAAACCGAAGCUAAUACCGCAUAAGUCCGAGAGGAGAAAGGUGAAAAUCGCCGAAGAGGGAGCCCGCGGCUGAUUAGCUAGUUGGUGGAGGUAACGGCCCACCAAGGCGAAGAUCGGUAGCCGGCCUGAGAGGGCACACGGCCACACUGGCACUGAGACACGGGCCAGACUCCUACGGGAGGCAGCAGUGGGGAAUCUUGGCACAAUGGGGGCAACCCUGAUGCA